rnacentral:rRNA from 1 species
CGUGCAGGCGGUUCGGUAAGUUGGGCGUGAAAUCUCUUGGCUUAACUAGGAGAGGUCGUUCAAUACUACCGGACUUGAGAGUGGUAGAGGAAGAUGGAAUUCCCGGUGUAGUGGUGAAAUGCGUAGAUAUCGGGAGGAACACCAGUGGCGAAAGCGAUCUUCUGGACCAUUUCUGACGCUCAGACGCGAAAGCUAGGGUAGUAAACG